rnacentral:rRNA from 1 species
GACGAACGCUGGCGGCGUGCUUAACACAUGCAAGUCGAACGGUAAGGCCCUUCGGGGUACACGAGUGGCGAACGGGUGAGUAACACGUGGGUGAUCUGCCCUGCACUUCGGGAUAAGCCUGGAAAACUGGGUCUAAUACCGGAUAGGACCACUGCCUGCAUGGGUGGUGGUGGAAAGCUUUUGCGGUGUGGGAUGGGCCCGCGGCCUAUCAGCUUGUUGGUGGGGUGAUGGCCUACCAAGGCGACGACGGGUAGCCGGCCUGAGAGGGUGACCGGCCACACUGGGACUGAGAUACGGCCCAGACUCCUACGGGAGGCAGCAGUGGGGAAUAUUGCACAAUGGGCGCAAUCCUGACGCAGCGACGCCGCGUGAGGGAUGACGGCCUUCGGGUUGUAAACCUCUUUCAGCACCGACGAAGCGCAAGUGACGGUAGGUGCAGAAGAAGGACCGGCCAACUACGUGCCAGCCGCCGCGGUAA